ensembl:snRNA U6 U6 spliceosomal RNA
CUGGCUUUUGUCCUCACAUAUACUGAUGUUGGAAUGCUACAGAGAUGAUUAGCAUGGCCGCUGCACAAGGAUGACAUGCAAAUUUGUGAAGUACUCCAUAUGUUU